CCUACGGGCGGCAGCAGUGGGGGAUAUUGCACAAUGGGGGAAACCCUGAUGCAGCGACGCCGCGUGUGGGAAGACGGUCUUCUGGAUUGUAAACCACUGUCCCCAGGGACGAAAAUGACGGUACCUGGGGAGGAAGCUCCGGCUAACUACGUGCCAGCAGCCGCGGCAAUACGGAGGGAGCAAGCGUUGUCCGUAAUUACUGGGCGUAAAGGGAGCGGAGGUGGGGAUGCAAGUUGGGUGUCAAAACUACGGGCUCAACCGAUAGUCGGACUCAAAACUGCGACUCUUGAGUGAAGUAGAGGGAGGGGAAAAUCCCAGGGUAGCGGUGAAAUGCGGAGAUAUUAGGAGGGACACCAGUGGCGAAGGCGGCCUGCUGGGCUUAUACUGACGGUGAGGCUCGAAAGUGUGGGGAGCAAACAGGAUUAGAUACCCCUGGUAGUC
rnacentral:rRNA from 1 species